UCACCUACGGGGGGCAGCAGUAGGGAAUUUUCGGCAAUGGGGGGAACCCUGACCGAGCAACGCCGCGUGAACGAAGAAGUUAUUCGUAAUGUAAAGUUCUUUUAUCAGGGAAGAAAGAGGAAUUUGACGGUACCUGAGGAAUAAGCUCCGGCUAACUACGUGCCAGCAGCCGCGGUAAUACGUAGGUGGCAAGCGUUGUCCGGAUUUACUGGGUGUAAAGGGCGUGUAGCCGGGUUGACAAGUCAGAUGUGAAAUCCUGCGGCUUAACCGCAGAACUGCAUUUGAAACUGUUGAUCUUGAGUACU
rnacentral:rRNA from 1 species